UAUUGAGUAGAGUUCCCUGUGCCCUACAGUAGGACCUUGUUGUUUAUCCAUCCGAUAUGUAAUAGUUUAUAGCUGCUAAUCCCAAACUCCCAAUCCAUCCCUCCCCCAAAUCCUUCCCCCUUGGCAACCACAAG